GAACGUGUGCUGCUGUUUGUUUUUCCUAUGCCCGCGGGCAUAGAGUUAAUGUGCGGUUGUGUGUUGUUGUCCAUCUAUGGUUUAAAGUGAAAUGAAAGUUUAAUGAAAUUGGACCUUUGUUAGCCUGAUAAACUAAGAUCAUCGAGGCAGAUUUUUUGCAUGAUUGGCUGCCAUCAAGUCUUUUGCCUAGCCAGAUUUUCUCCAGAUUGUGUCAUUGGCCAUGGAGGUUCACGAACUUUUUGCUCUUCAGGCGUUCCUUUAUGCUUCUGUUAACAUAACAAAUUGGCUGUCAUAUCAGACUUCCAUUGGAGUCUUUGUUUUGAAGGAAAUAUGGACAAUAUCAAAAGACGGUCGAGAGCAAAUUAAUGCUUUGAAAAGAAGGGGCAAAAAAUAGAGCAUUGGCCAAAGUGAUGUUUAAAAAUACUGAGCAGUUGGUGAGAAGAUGAUGAAAAAUAAUAAAG